rnacentral:rRNA from 1 species
AUUGAACGCUGGCGGCAGGCCUAACACAUGCAAGUCGAACGGUAACAGGAAGAAGCUUGCUUCUUUGCUGACGAGUGGCGGACGGGUGAGUAAUGUCUGGGAAACUGCCUGAUGGAGGGGGAUAACUACUGGAAACGGUAGCUAAUACCGCAUAACGUCGCAAGACCAAAGAGGGGGACCUUCGGGCCUCUUGCCAUCGGAUGUACCCAGAUGGGAUUAGCUAGUAGGUGGGGUAACGGCUCACCUAGGCGACGAUCCCUAGCUGGUCUGAGAGGAUGACCAGCCACACUGGAACUGAGACACGGGCCAGACUCCUGCGGGAGGCAGCAGGGGGGAAUAUUGCACAAGGGGCGAAAGCCUGAUGCAGCCAUGCCGGGGGUAUGAAGAAGGCCUUCGGGUUGUAAAGUACUUUCAGCGGGGAGGAAGGGAGUAAAGUUAAUACCUUUGCUCAUUGGCUUUACCCGCAGAAGAAGCACCGGCUAACUCCGU